rnacentral:misc_RNA from 1 species
UAAUAAGUGUUUUAUGGCACUUUUAAAUCCAUAUCCACCUUGUGUGCAAUGUCAGUCGAUCUUCUUCAUGGAGAUCGACCAAACAUCAACCUUUAUCUUUUAACUCUUUGUCGGAAAAAUAUUAUGAAUAAAACAAUUCAAAAUA